GUUUUUUUUUGGUGGUUUUUUUAUAGAUAAUUCAGUACUUUCAGAAUCUUACCUGGCCUGAUAUUCAGAGCCAGAAAGCAGAGUUUUUCAAGAUAAAACUUUCUUUGAUGAUAACAUUUCAAGCCCAAACAUUAUGCCACUAGCAGAGAGAAAAUAUUUAUCCCAAAGCCAUUUAUUUAUUUUAUAUUUUAAGAGAUUGCAGCCCUUAAGAACUACUGUGCUUAUCCUCUCAGAAGCACAUACUUGAAUGAAAAUAGGAUGGAAUUAAGCAAAAUUCAGGGAAGAAGAGCCAGACUCUCCUUUGGUGUAAAGCUGCUGCCAGGGGCCUAAGCUGAUAUAUAGCAGUUGGCAGUUUGGCUUGUGUAUUUUUAGUACAAGAAAAAAAAUCAAUACUUUCAGACUCUGCCUCCAUUCUCUUGUGACACAGUGGUAUUUAGGAAUCUUUCUUUUCAAAUAUCUUGUAAUUGCCUUUGGUAACUAGUAAUAUGCAAAAGAGAAAUGAGAAAUAAAUCAACAAACUUACUUGUUCAAGCAAAACUUAAGGGCCCAAAUAGUCUAGAUGACUAAGUGUGUUCUUGUGAUUUUAUGUCCCUGAGGCUGCAGGUGGGAAGACCACUGCAAUUACCAACACACACAAAAAAAAAUGUGUCAUUGUAGCUUAGGAUGAAUCAACACCUACUUGUAAAACGUGUAGAAGUAGAUGGUGACUAUAAUUCCCACCACAAUCUUUCAUUUCUUUCAUUUUAUACCAGAACCUUUCAAAGCCACCAUUAACACACUACAAAUCCUACAUUUAUGUUCUGUUUCCAUUAUCCAGCCUUUCCUAUUUAUUCUCUCCACAUAUGUAAAGAUUCUCCUCAAGAUUCUCAUAUGUACAAGUUCUCCUCAAGAAAUAUUAUUUCUUGUUUUAUUAAAGACAGUUUUUCCUCCCUUACAGGCACUUGGAACAAUACUGCAGAGUUACUUCAGCUUUGUAAUUUGGGUACUUCUCUACUGAUUCCCCCUUCUAUCUCUUCACGGACAUGGCAUCUCCCAGCCCAUUUCUUCUUUAAUUUCAAGUGCUUGUUACAUCUCAGACCCUGAUCCCAGACUCAUUUCCUGCCAUGUCAUACUUAUAACAAUACACAUUUGUGCCUUGUUUCCCCUCUUCCAGAUUGCUCCUCACAGGUGAAGCAGAAAUCACCCACCUUUGCAGAGGACUGUUCUUCAAACCCUUCCCCCACCACAAGGGAGGCAAUACAUUUGCCAGCCAACUGGUGUUAUUCAGUAGAGAAUAUCACUCACACCAUUUCAAAUAAAUCAAUUUAACAUCAGAUUUCUGUUUGUUUUCCUUCUUUAAUUACCACAGACUGCACAGAAACAGAGUUUUUUUUGUUUUUUUUGUUUUUCACACAGGAGCUCACUGAGUGAGCCUUUCCCUCCUGCUUACUGCAGGGACCACAGUCCUCCUUCAGUUUGCUCCUAGUUGUAAGCAAAGCCCCACAGGCACUCGUGUCAGGCAGUUUUACACUGCCCUGAUUUUUCUAUCACUGCUGGGCCUUUUGGAGCAGCAGUCUGUGAGCAAGGGACCUGCAGUAACACCAGCAGCAGCUCCUGGCUGGAGACUCAGACCAUGGUGGCCUCCACUGCCAUUCCAGGAACAGCUCUUCUCUUUUCCUGUGCAUCCUUCGUGUCUAAGCUAAGCUGUGCAGGCCCUCACUUCUCAUGGGAAUAACAGCAUGCAUUUGUUAUAUUUCAGUCUGUUGAAAAUGUAAUAACUUCACCUAUAAGCUAAAAAGGAAAAAAUUGCUCUUAAUAGAGAAUCCUUACUUAUUAAAGCAAAAGAAUUCACAGUGUUUGCUAGCCAAUCAUCCUUAAACUGAGCAUUCAUGUAAAAAUUGCAUACAUAUUUGAACAUGUAUAAAAGUGGCAUCACUCUUCUAACUGAUACUGUGCCUUCCAUGUCACAUGAGGAUCAGUAUGCUUAUUGAAAUGCUGUGGAUAUAUUCUUUCCCCAUCUCAGGGAACAAGAACAUGAAAAAUAAAGUAAUAUAGUGCUAAAUUUAUUCCUCAAAUUAACACUUAUAUUUGCCUUGAUUUUGGAUCACUCAAGAAAGCAGUUAUUAAAACUUUUCUGUUUAUUAAUUUGAUUUUUGGAUUUCAUUCUUAUAAAAAGCUAAAGACAGGCUUCCUAAUUUUAUUUCUUGAGAAUAAAUAAUUUCCUUUUUCUUAUAUUCCCAUAACAUAUUUACCCCUUAAUGGAAUAGUGAAAAGAAAAAAAAGUAUUUUAAGUAAGGACUUUUUUACUUUUCUAGAAUAUAAGCAAUAAAUUUAAAACCACAUUACCUUAAAUAUGUUCAUAUCUCUAAGAUGCAGAGAAAUUAAGAGAAGGAAAAAAGUGAGAAAAUAACUGCACAGCAGACAAGUGAUGCCAAUAUUCUACUAUAUUUUGUGCUUUUUCUCGCAAAGGCAGAUUAGUAUAAAUUUAAUUUUGCACUAGCUCUGCAAAGCUGUGACUCCUAGGGAGUAUGAUUCUAGGGAAUAUGAUUAAUUUGAAUUAUUUAGAUGCUGCAUGAAUAGCACCAAACCAGUUGAUUGCAUCUUGAUUGAGUUACAUCCUAUUUGUGUGGUUAAAUGUAGCCAGUGUAAUUAUUCUUAUAUAAGGACUAAAUAAAUGCACUCUUUUGAUAAGAAAUGGUGUCUGUGAUCUUUCAUUUGUAUCAUGUUAUUAAAGAUUUUGCUUAGGAUACAAUGAAAUCUGGCUAAAGGGGGAAAAGAAAAAUAAUUUGCUGAGCACCGAUGCUUCAAUUAAUUAAGUUCUGUUUCUGCAAAGAGCCGUAAGUGAAAGAAUCAAACUACUAUGUUUUGUAGAUGAAUGAUCAGCAAAUGGUGAAAGUCAUCUGUCAUGGUCUAGUUUUGUAGCCUGACAAGAAGAAUGAAGCUAGCAUUUUCUGAAUUCAUAAAACAGUUUGGGUUGCAGUUUACAUAACAUCCACAUUUAAUUAGAGUGGAACCAGUGGAGACAUUGAAUCCCUCUUCAGUCUGGCAGUAGGGUAAAGGGCUUAUCAUCUGUCCUUCACAAAAGGUUAACACAAAGUGCAUACAUGUUUUCAUGUCAUCUAGCCCUUGGUUCAAUCACAUUCUCAGCUUAAUGUAGUGAGUGAAUAUUUCUGCAGUCAGAAUUUCUCAUUACAGGGAUGUUAUUAUUCUAGGGGUUUAAGCACUCAUUCAGUUCACUCGGUUAUUCUGCCAGGAUAUCCUUUGCCAAAUGAGACUCUAGAAAUAAAACAUUUCACUGCACUGUGUUAGUAGAAUGAAAACUCAUUCUUUCUCUUGGUCUUGUUUUUCUUUUAGAAGAAGAAAAAUUAUUCCAUGGUGUCAGAUAACUAUGUCACUGGGGAGAAGGCCUCUUUGUAGCAGGUUGUAUUUUUUUCUUGUCUACACUGCUCAUAGCACUGUGCCAAUAUCAUAACUGCAUUUCUGUGAAGCAGCUUUGCUUAUCCCAGAUGCAUAAAUAACUUGCAGAGACCUGUUAUUCAUAAGCAGUGCUAUUUACAGAUCCAGAGCACCUGAAAAUGAAGGGACAAACAUUUGAGAGCUCAGGGUAAGCUUGAGAGUCUCUCAAUUCAUAGUAACAUGCAUAUAGAAAUAUCUUAUGCAGGCUUUGUGGCUACAGCUGUGUUUCUUUAGUUAUACCUCCACCACUUCCUCUUUAUUUUAAUUAUAUAAUAAUUUCUAUGUUAUGUAUAUUGUCAAAAUAUACACGAGUCUCUUACACACACAUACAUGUAAAUAAAAAGCUCUAUCACCCAAGGCAAAAUGCUUUUAAGUAAAAUCCAUGGAUUUUCAGGCGAUGGUUCAACCAAACCAUUGGAACCUUUGGAAAUUUUUUCUAAACAAUCAAAUAUUAGACAUAUGCUUUAUAAACAUGUGCUUAAAUAUGGGGUUUUUUUAACAGUGCAUAUGAUCAUGCACUUUAUGUUGGACAGAGGGAUCUUUUACAUCUUUUCAGUUCCAUCAGAGGCAGAGAACUACUAUCUUUUGUAGCUCAGACAAGAAAGUUGUCCUAGUUACAUGUGAGAUUAAAAUCUUUUAACCCCAAUAUGAGUUAUAUAUGUCACAACACAGAGUCUUGUAGCAAUCCUGCAGCAGUGUUACAGAAAGACUUACUUCUGAUAUGAAUACAAAAGUCUGCUUAACUCUGUUUUUCUUUCCUCCAUUCAAAUUUGGUAUGAGCGUUAGAUAUUUAGUUUAAAUAUGAGACAGACAGCUAAACCAAAACCUCACAAAUGCCAUUACAAAGGAAUUCAUGCAGGGCUCUUCUCCAAGGACUGCAGAGCCUCUUGUGUGCUCCCACAGAUGAAGAUCAGCCAGCUCAGCUACAGCUGGCCCAGCUUCCCCAGCCAACACCAACUCAUUUUUGCUCCUUUUUUUUAUCAGUGACCAUUAUCAAAGACAUAGAGAAUUUUAAGUUCAGUAGUAACUACCCACAAGCCAAGUCUUAGCUUUUAGCAUUGAAAUAUUUUUGGCCACUGCGCCACUUAGAAAGCUGCACCAAACUAAAUGAAGAUGCCACGUCUCCAAAUGUAAAGAUUAAACUUCUUUUGGAUGAAAGAACCCGUGGCAGCUAAAUGUCUUCUUUAGCAUAGAUCCCUCCUGACUGAGGAAUAGAAUAUUCCUGGUAAAUCUGUUGGCAUUAGGAAACAAUGCUAUGUAUGGAUAUGUAUGGAUCACUGAAAUAUAACGCUUGGUUUCUUUGGGAUCUAUGCACAUCAUUUACAGAAGCAGGCAAAAAGUACUCAUUUCAGCCAGGCAAAAUAUUCUACAAUAUUUUUCUUAUUACAUACUUGUCUUGCAACCAUAAUAAAAAAUUAUUUCAUUAAAAAUUUACCUCUGAUUCUUGAAGGCUAUAACAAAACCAGUUCUGUUCAGAAAUGAAAACUGCACCUCCUAAAAAAAUUACAAAAACCCACACAAACAUGCAAUACUGUCAUGCUUCUGCACACUGAUCAUAAACCAUUGUACAGUUAUCAGUUAUAUUACCUUUCCAUCCACAGCACUAACAUGAAAGGGCAACAGUAUGAAGCAUUUGCAGAAGUCUUUCAGAUUAUUCCAGUGCACAAUUCUUACAAUACUUUUCAGCUGCUUCUCUUCACAAGCCACGUAAAGGCCACCCUGUCUCUAGAACUACCAUGAGUAUCCUUUCUGUCCUCUGAUCUGCACUUCAAAAACAUCAUUUCAUCUUUACUGAGAUUACCUAGCUACCAUAUAGAAACCUUAAUUGUAGGUAACUGUAAGACCAAUUCUCAAAAAGACAGAUAAUUGUCACUGGAUUCUUCAGCCACAUAUUCCAUUCUGUCCUGUUUAACUGAUCUCUUUUGUCCUUAGUGGAAUUUCAAUGGUAUAUCUACUUGCAAAAAUUAGAAACCAACAGUUGCAUGUAUGUUUUGAUGAAGAAGCUGUAGAGCAGGAUGGAGAGAGACUAUUUACAAGAUCAUGGAGUGAUAGGACAAGGGAGAAUGGAUUCAAACUGAAAGAGGAAAGGUUUAGAUUAGAUACAUGGAAGAAAUUUUUUACUGUGGCAGUGAUGAGGCAUUGAAACAAGUUGCCUUGAGAUUUUGUGGAUGCCCCAUCCCUGCAGUGUUCAAGGCCAGGCUGGAUGGGGCUUUGAGCAACCCAGUCCAGUGGAAGGCAUCCCUGCCCAUGACCGCAGGGUUGAAACCUGAUGAUCUUUAAGGUCCCUUCCAACCCAAACCAUUCUAUGAUUCUGUGAUUCUGUGAUUUUUGAAAGAGCAGCAAAAACAUCCAAAGGAUUAGGUUUUUCUCAUAUGCUUGUCCUCAAAUCUUUCACAAAAAAAAAAAAAAAAAAAAAAAAA
ensembl:lncRNA